rnacentral:rRNA from 1 species
GACCAAGGAGUCUAACACGUGCGCGAGUCGCAGGGUUGUACGAAACCCGAGGGCGUAACGAAAGUGAACGAGAUCUUCGGAUCUAUCAGGUGGGAUCCCGAAGCCUUCGGCGACGGGCGCACCACCGGCCUGUCUCGGCCGCCACGCCGGCGAGGCGGAGCAAGAGCGUACGCGUUGGGACCCGAAAGAUGGUGAACUAUGCCUGAGCAGGAUGAAGCCAGAAGAAAUUCUGGUGGAAGUCCGCAGCGAUUCUGACGUGCAAAUCGAUCGUCAAACUUGGGUAUAGGGGCGAAAGACUAAUCGAACCAUCUAGUAGCUG